GUGAGGAAUAUUGGUCAAUGGACGGAAGUCUGAACCAGCCAUGCCGCGUGCAGGAAUAAGGUCCUAUGGAUUGUAAACUGCUUUUAUUCGGGAAUAAACCUCUUUACGUGUAGGGAGCUGAAGGUACCGAAGGAAUAAGCACCGGCUAACUCCGUGCCAGCAGCCGCGGUAAUACGGAGGGUGCAAGCGUUAUCCGGAAUCAUUGGGUUUAAAGGGUCCACAGGCGGGCUAUCAAGUCAGAGGUGAAAUCCCACAGCUUAACUGUGGAACUGCCUUUGAAACUGAUGGUCUUGAAUUAAGUGGGCGUUGGCGGAAUAUGACAUGUAGCGGUGAAAUGCAUAGAUAUGUCAUGGAACACCGAAAGCGAAGGCAGCUAACGAUACUUAUAUUGACGCUCAUGGACGAAAGCGUGGGUAGCGAACAGGAUUAGAAACCCGUGUAGUCC
rnacentral:rRNA from 1 species